UCUGCUGCAGAAAACCACCGGUUUGUGAAUUUUCAUACAUGUUUUUAUAGCAGCGUUUUUGCAAAUAUAACAGAGACCACCUUACAUACAAUACAUAAACUACAGUUAGACUUCACAGACGAGCAAUUGCUGCGGAAGGUGUGUGUUGAAGAGCUAGGUGGCACAACUAUUGUGG